UCUGGCUUUGGCCACCUUUCAAAACCACAAGUACAUCCAAGGGCAGCCAAGACAACAACAAAGCCAAGAGAUAACAGUCACCAAAAGAGAAGACCAACUCCCCCUUCCAGGCCUGCCUUCUGCCUGGCUCUCGGCAGGCAAGGCUCCAUUCUCCCCAAAGUAGGUGUCCAAGGCGCUGAAUACAAGCAGGGUACUGAUCCCUGUGCAAGAAGAUAGCUCAGAGGAUGCCCACAGCUGGUGCCAACAUUCUUGGGAGGCUAUGGAACACACUGUCUGGGGAAGGCCCUAUAAUACUUUCUGGGUUCUAAUCCUAGCUCAGUGAUCCAUUAAGGUGCUGCAGUCCAGCCACAGGCCAUUCCGGUUCCUUCUGGGGUUUUGAAACAUGCCAAACGUGCUCUCACCUCCAGUUCUCUGCAUUUGACUUCCCUAUGCCUGCAACAGCCUGGAAGGCCCAUGGUUGCUUUCCCUCAUUAUGCAAAUCUGAGCUUAAAUAUCAUCUCAGAAACCUGUUUAUCCUACCAAAAACGUACCACCUCCAAUAAAUCUCCAGCGUAUCACUCCAUUUCCUCUACAGCAUUUGG